rnacentral:rRNA from 1 species
GGUUAAGCGACUAAGCGUACACGGUGGAUGCCCUGGCAGUCAGAGGCGAUGAAGGACGUGCUAAUCUGCGAUAAGCGUCGGUAAGGUGAUAUGAACCGUUAUAACCGGCGAUUUCCGAAUGGGGAAACCCAGUGUGAUUCGUCACACUAUCAUUAACUGAAUCCAUAGGUUAAUGAGGCGAACCGGGGGAACUGAAACAUCUAAGUACCCCGAGGAAAAGAAAUCAACCGAGAUUCCCCCAGUAGCGGCGAGCGAACGGGGAGCAGCCCAGAGCCUGAAUCAGUGUGUGUGUUAGUGGAAGCGUCUGGAAAGGCGUGCGAUACAGGGUGACAGCCCCGUACACAAAAAUGCACAUACUGUGAGCUCGAUGAGUAGGGCGGGACACGUGGUAUCCUGUCUGAAUAUGGGGGGACCAUCCUCCAAGGCUAAAUACUCCUGACUGACCGAUAGUGAACCAGUACCGUGAGGGAAAGGCGAAAAGAACCCCGGCGAGGGGAGUGAAAAAGAACCUGAAACCGUGUACGUACAAGCAGUGGGAGCACAGAGCAAUCUGUGUGACUGCGUACCUUUUGUAUAAUGGGUCAGCGACUUAUAUUCUGUAGCAAGGUUAACCGAAUAGGGGAGCCGAAGGGAAACCGAGUCUUAACUGGGCGUUAAGUUGCAGGGUAUAGACCCGAAACCCGGUGAUCUAGCCAUGGGCAGGUUGAAGGUUGGGUAACACUAACUGGAGGACCGAACCGACUAAUGUUGAAAAAUUAGCGGAUGACUUGUGGCUGGGGGUGAAAGGCCAAUCAAACCGGGAGAUAGCUGGUUCUCCCCGAAAGCUAUUUAGGUAGCGCCUCGUGAAUUCAUCUCCGGGGGUAGAGCACUGUUUCGGCAAGGGGGUCAUCCCGACUUACCAACCCGAUGCAAACUGCGAAUACCGGAGAAUGUUAUCACGGGAGACACACGGCGGGUGCUAACGUCCGUCGUGAAGAGGGAAACAACCCAGACCGCCAGCUAAGGUCCCAAAGUCAUGGUUAAGUGGGAAACGAUGUGGGAAGGCCCAGACAGCCAGGAUGUUGGCUUAGAAGCAGCCAUCAUUUAAAGAAAGCGUAAUAGCUCACUGGUCGAGUCGGCCUGCGCGGAAGAUGUAACGGGGCUAAACCAUGCACCGAAGCUGCGGCAGCGACGCUUAUGCGUUGUUGGGUAGGGGAGCGUUCUGUAAGCCUGCGAAGGUGUGCUGUGAGGCAUGCUGGAGGUAUCAGAAGUGCGAAUGCUGACAUAAGUAACGAUAAAGCGGGUGAAAAGCCCGCUCGCCGGAAGACCAAGGGUUCCUGUCCAACGUUAAUCGGGGCAGGGUGAGUCGACCCCUAAGGCGAGGCCGAAAGGCGUAGUCGAUGGGAAACAGGUUAAUAUUCCUGUACUUGGUGUUACUGCGAAGGGGGGACGGAGAAGGCUAUGUUGGCCGGGCGACGGUUGUCCCGGUUUAAGCGUGUAGGCUGGUUUUCCAGGCAAAUCCGGAAAAUCAAGGCUGAGGCGUGAUGACGAGGCACUACGGUGCUGAAGCAACAAAUGCCCUGCUUCCAGGAAAAGCCUCUAAGCAUCAGGUAACAUCAAAUCGUACCCCAAACCGACACAGGUGGUCAGGUAGAGAAUACCAAGGCGCUUGAGAGAACUCGGGUGAAGGAACUAGGCAAAAUGGUGCCGUAACUUCGGGAGAAGGCACGCUGAUAUGUAGGUGAAGUCCCUCGCGGAUGGAGCUGAAAUCAGUCGAAGAUACCAGCUGGCUGCAACUGUUUAUUAAAAACACAGCACUGUGCAAACACGAAAGUGGACGUAUACGGUGUGACGCCUGCCCGGUGCCGGAAGGUUAAUUGAUGGGGUCAGCGCAAGCGAAGCUCUUGAUCGAAGCCCCGGUAAACGGCGGCCGUAACUAUAACGGUCCUAAGGUAGCGAAAUUCCUUGUCGGGUAAGUUCCGACCUGCACGAAUGGCGUAAUGAUGGCCAGGCUGUCUCCACCCGAGACUCAGUGAAAUUGAACUCGCUGUGAAGAUGCAGUGUACCCGCGGCAAGACGGAAAGACCCCGUGAACCUUUACUAUAGCUUGACACUGAACAUUGAGCCUUGAUGUGUAGGAUAGGUGGGAGGCUUUGAAGUGUGGACGCCAGUCUGCAUGGAGCCGACCUUGAAAUACCACCCUUUAAUGUUUGAUGUUCUAACGUUGACCCGUGAUCCGGGUUGCGGACAGUGUCUGGUGGGUAGUUUGACUGGGGCGGUCUCCUCCUAAAGAGUAACGGAGGAGCACGAAGGUUGGCUAAUCCUGGUCGGACAUCAGGAGGUUAGUGCAAUGGCAUAAGCCAGCUUGACUGCGAGCGUGACGGCGCGAGCAGGUGCGAAAGCAGGUCAUAGUGAUCCGGUGGUUCUGAAUGGAAGGGCCAUCGCUCAACGGAUAAAAGGUACUCCGGGGAUAACAGGCUGAUACCGCCCAAGAGUUCAUAUCGACGGCGGUGUUUGGCACCUCGAUGUCGGCUCAUCACAUCCUGGGGCUGAAGUAGGUCCCAAGGGUAUGGCUGUUCGCCAUUUAAAGUGGUACGCGAGCUGGGUUUAGAACGUCGUGAGACAGUUCGGUCCCUAUCUGCCGUGGGCGCUGGAGAACUGAGGGGGGCUGCUCCUAGUACGAGAGGACCGGAGUGGACGCAUCACUGGUGUUCGGGUUGUCAUGCCAAUGGCACUGCCCGGUAGCUAAAUGCGGAAGAGAUAAGUGCUGAAAGCAUCUAAGCACGAAACUUGCCCCGAGAUGAGUUCUCCCUGACUCCUUGAGAGUCCUGAAGGAACGUUGAAGACGACGACGUUGAUAGGCCGGGUGUGUAAGCGCAGCGAUGCGUUGAGCUAACCGGUACUAAUGAACCGUGAGGCUUAACCUU